GAUCAUGGCUCAGGAUGAACGCUAGCUACAGGCUUAACACACGCAAGUCGAGGGGCAGCAUGAUUGAAGCUUGCUUCAAUCGAUGGCGACCGGCGCACGGGUGAGUAACACGUAUCCAACCUGCCGAUAACUCGGGGAUAGCCUUUCGAAAGAAAGAUUAAUACCCGAUAGUAUAGUAUUUCCGCAUGGUUUCACUAUUAAAGAAUUUCGGUUAUCGAUGGGGAUGCGUUCCAUUAGA
rnacentral:rRNA from 1 species